GCUCGUGUCGUGAGAUGUUGGGUUAAGUCCCGCAACGAGCGCAACCCUCGUCCUAUGUUGCCAGCGGGUCAUGCCGGGGACUCAUGGGAGACUGCCGGGGUCAACUCGGAGGAAGGUGGGAUGACGUCAAAUCAUCAUGCCCCUUAUGUCUUGGGCUUCACGCAUGCUACAAUGGUCGGUACAGAGGGUUGCCAACCCGCGAGGGGAAGCUAAUCCCACAAAGCCGAUCGUAGUCCGGAUCGCAGUCUGCAACUCGACUGCGUGAAGUCGGAAUCGCUAGUAAUCGUGGAUCAGCAUGUCACGGUGAAUACGUUCCCGGGUCUU
rnacentral:rRNA from 1 species